GCAUGUCGAACGAAGCACUUGUGCUUAGUGGCGAAUGGGUGAGUAACACGUGCUUAAUCUGCCCUCAAGUUUGGGACAACAGUUGGAAACGACUGCUAUACCGGAUAUGUAUUCUUACCGCAUGGUAAGUUUAUAAAAGGAGCGUUUGCUUCGCUAGAGGAUGAGAGUGCGUCAUAUUAGCUAGUUGGUAGGGUAAGAGCCUACCAAGGCAAUGAUAUGUAGCGGGGUCGAGAGGCUGAAC
rnacentral:rRNA from 1 species